rnacentral:rRNA from 1 species
GAUGAACGCUGGCGGCGUGCCUAAUACAUGCAAGUCGAGCGAACGGACGAGGAGCUUGCUCCUCUGACGUUAGCGGCGGACGGGUGAGUAACACGUGGAUAACCUACCUAUAAGACUGGGAUAACUUCGGGAAACCGGAGCUAAUACCGGAUAAUAUUUUGAACCGCAUGGUUCAAUAGUGAAAGACGGUUUUGCUGUCACUUAUAGAUGGAUCCGCGCCGCAUUAGCUAGUUGGUAAGGUAACGGCUUACCAAGGCAACGAUGCGUAGCCGACCUGAGAGGGUGAUCGGCCACACUGGAACUGAGACACGGUCCAGACUCCUACGGGAGGCAGCAGUAGGGAAUCUUCCGCAAUGGGCGAAAGCCUGACGGAGCAACGCCGCGUGAGUGAUGAAGGUCUUCGGAUCGUAAAACUCUGUUAUUAGGGAAGAACAUAUGUGUAAGUAACUGUGCACAUCUUGACGGUACCUAAUCAGAAAGCCACGGCUAACUACGUG